rnacentral:lncRNA from 1 species
ACCAUUCUCUAAUCUCUCCCUCUGAAUAUAAGUAAUUAAAUAAUUAAUAGAUAUAGAAUUUUAAGAUGAUGAAGUUGUCAUGCUGUGGUGUGGGGCUCUGUGUUGUGGUUAUGAUGGCAAUGGUGCUAAGUGAAGAAGCAAGGAUGACAGAGGCAGUGACAUGUAGCCCAUUGGAGUUGAGCUCAUGCUUGGAACCAAUUAUGUCAGGGACACCUCCUUCAACCACAUGCUGCCAGAAACUGAGGGAGCAGAAGCCUUGCCUUUGUGGAUAUCUCAAGGACCCAGCCCUCAAGCAAUAUGUCAGCAGCCCCAACGCCAGAAAAGUUGCUUCCACCUGUGGUGUUCCCUUCCCUCAAUGCUAAAUUAAUUACCAAUAUUAAUCACUCCUUAAUUACCAAUAUUAAGUAAUAAGAAUGACGACUUCAUUAAUGUCAUUGUUCAAGACCAGCAAUCAUGAUACUACCAAUUGUGCCUGGAGAAUAAUGGGAUGUAUGUUAUAUGGUUAAACAAAAUAAAUAAAUGUCAGUGUAAUUGACUUCUGAAAUAUGUGGUUUUGCUUCAUUUAGCUUGGCUGCUAUUUGAAUUUCGUUUUUCAUGAAGUCAAUUUGGUGGCUCAUAGAUUAGCUCGAUUUUCUGUAACUUUAUUUCAAGUGCCAAUGUGGUAUGGG